AAUAAACAUCUAAUACGGGCCGGAAGACAAGACUCUCGCAGGCCUCAACCACGUACUCCUCGAGUGAGUCGCAAACGCAAAACGCGACCUGUAGUGGACACCGACCUAUACCUGCAAAAUUGGAACCUAGAACAAGUUCCUGGAGUGUAUAUGAGACAUGGAUGUUGUUCAAUGAAAACAUUAAAUCCAACACCACCAAUAGUUAAUAAUCGACACGAAGUCAUUAAAUAGACACGGAGUCAGUAUCUCGACUUUGCUUUUAUCACUUUGUAUUAUGUUUGAUCUGGAUGAAGUGUUUGGGUGAUGUUAGGUGCGUGAUGAAAUUGAAAAUCUUUUAGAUGACAAUGAGGAUAUGGCACAUUUGUACUUAACAAGGAGAUGGAUUCAAAGUCAGCAAUCUGAGGCUUUGUUAGGAACUGCAGCUUCAAAUAGCAUUGUCAGCGGUGGACCACAUCUUCGGCAUAUUAACUCUAACAGGAGCACAAGUUUAAUGUCGAGCAACUACGUAGACAAUCAUGACAUGGAAGACCUGGAGAUGUUGCUUUAGGCUUAUUUCAUGCAAUUGGAUGGGACUUGCAACAAGAUAUUAUCUGUUCGCGAGUAUAUUAUAUUGAUGACACUGAGGAUUAUGUAUAUAUCCAACUUGACAACCAAUGAAACGAACUCAUUCAACUCCAAUUGACAUUGACCAUUACAUCGUUUGCUAUUGCUGUUGAGACAAUGAUUGCUGGGGCGUUGGGUAUGAGCAUCCCGUAUCAACUGUACGAUAUUGAUGGGGGUAUUCAACACCGUCGUUGGAGUUCUUACUGCUGCCUGUGUCUUACUUUUCCUGCUUGUUCUUGGAUAUGCCAGAUGGAAGAAGCUGCUUGGAUCAUGAUUUCCCUCAUUAUCUAUUAUUACUCCCGUCUUGUAUAAAUUACAGAUUUAAUUUGUUCCUCCUUCCUUGGAAAUUCUUCUAGUUAUAAACUGCAGUUCAGGUCCA